CCUGUCUCUACUAAAAAUACAAAAUUAGCUGGGUGUGGUGGCGCAUGCCUGUAAUCCCAGCUACUCGGGAGGCUGAGGCAGGAGAAUCGCUUGAACCCGAGAGGCGGAGGUUGUGGUGAGCCAAGAUCACGCCAUUACACUCCAGCCUGGGCAACAAGAGCAAAACUCUGUCUCAAAACAAACAAAAAAACUGGUUUUUAUGAGACUCAUACAAUAGGGGCAGAACUCCCAGAUAAAUAAAUCAAAAAAGGAAGUGGACCAGGUGCGGUGGCUCAUGCUUGUAGUUCUAGCACUUUGGAGGCAAGAGGAUCACUUGAAGCCAGGAGUUCAAGACCAGCCUAGGCAACAUAGCAAGACUCUGUCUCUACAAAAAAUAAAAUGGAAAAAAAAAAAGUGGUUAUAUGUGAUGGGUUCAUAAGUUUGGGGAAGAUCUGCCAGAAAUGGAGAAACGGUGAUUUGUUUGUUUAGAGGAAUCCUUGGGAGUUUGAUGGCCUCCUGGUUCGAAAACUCCAGGUUAGGAAUAGAGGAAGGAUGAGAAGACUGGAAUCCCUGUUAGGAAACUCAGAUAUGAGUAACCAAGAAGUUCGCUAUUGGAAACAAAGGAAGACAACUUCACCUACUUUGGGACAUAGACAUUUUGAUAUACGCUUGGAUAUACACACACAUCGUUUUCU
rnacentral:lncRNA from 10 species